rnacentral:rRNA from 2 species
UGAAGUGAUGAUGGCAAAGAGGUCACACCCGUUCCCAUACCGAACACGGAAGUUAAGCUCUUUAGCGCCGAUGGUAGUUG